GACGAACGCUGGCGGCACGCCUAACACAUGCAAGUCGAACGGAGAACCUUCGGGUUCUUAGUGGCGGACGGGUGAGUAACACGUGAGCAACCUGCCUCUCAGAGGGGGAUAACGUUUGGAAACGAACGCUAAUACCGCAUAACGUAUUUUGGUCACAUGGCCUUGAUACCAAAGGAGCAAUCCGCUGAGAGAUGGGCUCGCGUCCGAUUAGAUAGUUGGCGGGUAACGGCCCACCAAGUCGACGAUCGGUAGCCGGACUGAGAGGUUGAACGGCCACAUUGGGACUGAGACACGGCCCAGACUCCUACGGGAGGCAGCAGUGGGGGAUAUUGCACAAUGGGGGAAACCCUGAUGCAGCAACGCCGCGUGAAGGAAGAAGGUCUUCGGAUUGUAAACUUCUGUUUUAGUGAAGAAACAAAUGACGGUAGCUAAAGAGAAGCACGGCUAAACUACGUG
rnacentral:rRNA from 1 species